rnacentral:rRNA from 1 species
GAUGAACGCUAGCGGCAGGCUUAACACAUGCAAGUCGAGGGGUAUAGUUCUUCGGAGCUAGAGACCGGCGCACGGGUGCGUAACGCGUAUGCAAUCUACCUUUUACAGAGGGAUAGCCCAGAGAAAUUUGGAUUAAUACCUCAUAGUAUGUGAGAAUCGCAUGGUUUUCACAUUAAAGUUCCAACGGUAAAAGAUGAGCAUGCGUCCCAUUAGCUAGUUGGUAAGGUAACGGCUUACCAAGGCUACGAUGGGUAGGGGUCCUGAGAGGGAGAU